AAUGAACAAAACUGAAAACUCAAAAAACGGAAACCCCAUCAUCGUUUCAACUUUUAUUACCAGAACGAAACCCUUGUAAAAGAAACGCAGGUUUCGACAGCACAAAAAAUAUAAAAGAUAAACAAAUUCUUGAGGCAGACUGUUUUAAUAUGUCAGAACAUUAAGCAGAAUAGUUGAGCUGUCAAAGAUAUUCAACCUGUGUUUUUCUCUACGGCAUUCACUUCCUCCUCUUUUUAUCCACAUAUCUGAAUCUUUUCUUUGGUUUGAGUGGAAUGACAAUUUUGUUAUUGUUGCCUUUUCUGAUUUGAGAGAGGUUAGCCUAUUGUGUUUAAUGCUUAAAACGAAAUUCUUUGAAUGAGAUGUGCAGGUAAUUAAGAGAAGUUUUGGAGGGAGAAGUGGAAGAAGAAAGGCUUGGCACAAAAAUUCGAUACAAAAUUUUUAGACUGAGCUCAGUGUAAUUAUAAAACUAACAUUACUGAGAGGGUAAGAGAAAAAAAAAUCCGCGAAUAGUGUUCAGCAUUGCCUGAUUGUGCAAAAUUACAUAAGAAAAGUGUGAGUCCAUUACCUGUGACCAUUUUUUUUUUGUUGAAUCAAAACAAAUGAGAAGUACUGGGAAUCAAAUUUGGGAACACCGACAUCAAGAUAGAAAUUUUUGUCUUUCUUGGAUUCAAGGCAUGAAAAUGAUGCAGCUCUUUGUUCAAUAGUUGCUAUAUCCUGAUAUAACCAAUUUCAUUUCUGUCAUAUUGGUUUUAUUGGUAUGCGAGGGACAGUGGACGAUGCCUUUACGACAUACAUUUUCUUUGGUAUUCAGGACAAGGCUUGGAAGUAUGCCAUCAGAAUCUGAUAAGUGGGGAUGGGAACAUGUUAGUGUGUUUGGUGGAUUUGACAGGGGAAUUGGUACAAAAAGGUGGAAAUGUAACCACUGUGAUCUACAAUAUAAUGGAUCUUAUUCACGUGUCAGGGCCCACCUUCUAGCUUCUCAGGUGUUGGGGUCAAAAGUUCUUCUAUCGACAGGUCUUUGCGAGAAGCAUUUCAGGUCCUAGAAGAGGAGCGUGUUGCACCGAAGAAGAAAAGGAGCUCUGUCAUUGGGAAGGCUGGUAAACUUGUUCGGACUUCUCAGCCAACUCUUGCUCGGAAAACCAUCACAAAAGAAGAUGUAGAUGACAUAGUAGCUAGAUUUUUUUAUGCUGAUGGUUUAAAUAUUGAUAUCAUCAACUCUUCUUACUUUCGUGAAAUGUUGAAAGCAAUUGGUUCUUUUGGGCCUGGGUUUGAGCUCCCAUCAAUAGAUAAGCUGUCUGAUUCUUUUCUAAGCAAAGAGAAAGGGAGGAUUGAAAAAUCAGUAGCUCUAGUUAGGGAGUCCUGGCCACAUACAGGAUGCACAAUACUGUGUGCAGGUCGAUUAGAGCAUGAGGUAGCCUAAACAUCAGUAUAUUUGUCUCCAGCCCAAGGGGACUUGUAUUCUUAAAAGCAGUUGAUGUGGAUGACACUGAUGAGGGAGAGCAUGUGUUUACUAGUGCUCUCACUGAUACAAUUAUGGAAGUUGGCGCUACAAAUGUUCUUCAGAUAGUCUCACAUCUAGGCGAUGCAUGCAAAUCAUCUGAAUCCUAUGUAUUGUUGAAGUUCCCUAAUAUAUUUUGGUCUCUUUGCAUUUCACAUUCCGUGUUCAUGUUGAUGGAAGAAAUAGCUGAAGUGGAAUGGGUGAAAUCUAUUGUCUUGCGUGCCAAGGCAAUUGAGGAAUGCAUGAUCACAUAUCAACAUAAUUCAUCAUGUUCUUUCGGUCAAAAUUUGAAAGAGUUGUCUGAUCCAAUAUCUCCCAAAUUUGCACCUUCCUAUUGUUCUCUCCUGAGGGUCUUUGGGCUAAGGCAAUCACUCCAGGAUAUGGUAGUGAGGACUGGAAGCAAUGGAAGCAUAAUAUUGCAGAGGAUGUAAAUGUGGAAUCUGCCAUUUUAGAUGAUGGUUUCUGGAGAAAGGCUCAUUCGCUGUUGCAGUUGUAUGAGCCAUUUGUAAGGUCGCUUGCUACCAUUGAUAUUGGCAAAUCUGUUAUUGGGGCAGCUUAUUUUCCCCUCUUCACGCUGCAGGUUAUUUACUGAAUCCUAGAUAUAUUGGGAAGGGUCAAACAAAAGAUAAAUAAUGCAGGGCUGGAAAGCUACUCUAGAAAGAUACGAGGGUGAAAGCACAGCCAGACGUGUUCUCAGGGAGCAGCUCAGCUCAUACUGGCGUCUGGAGGGAUCCUUGGGAGAGGAAGAUGCCGUGGAUUGCAGGGAUAAAAUGGACCCAGUUGCAUGGUGGGAAAACUUCGGUUUUGUUACACCCAGCUUGCAAACACUAGCCAUAAAGGUUCUGAGCCAGGUUUCAAGUGUUGCUAUGUUUGAAGAGAUUUGGCAAGCUAAUGACUUCUCAUGUCGAGAAGCAGCAGGCAGGUUGGGAGUGCAGAAAAUGGAAGAUAUCUUUUUCAUUCGCAACAAUCUCAGACUUCAUGGUCGAAUAAAUGGGAAUUUAUGCUUCUCAUUUGCCCAAAGAAACGCCUUUUCAAGCUCCUCUUCUGGAGUUAAGACAUGGGAAGGUCUGCAUCUUGAUCAAUCUACUGCGAUGGUAGAUAUCCAUGAAAAAUUAUAAUAAAGCUUUCCCCGCUUCUAAAUUGGGGCUGGACUCCGACCAAAGGCAUGCUUUUAUUAAUCAGCAGGUUGCAUGUCAGCUACCCGCAUUCACUGGACAUUGCUGUGCACUGAUCAGGAUGAUCCUUUUGAGGAAAAUCGAUUUCUGCUUGGAUCAAGAGUGGAGAGGAAAAUAAGAAAAGGAGAGUGUAACCAUUUUAGAACCCGUUUGGGAA